AACUGCAAUAUUUUUUUAGACCAAAUGCUUUUUUUGUAUUUAUUAGUGUCUUUCUUAGUUAAGCAUUUCACAAAAGAGACAAAAGCGUACCAUGGUUUAAAAUACAUCCUGAAUGUGCCAAUAAAGGUCCACAGUUACAAACCCAAUAAACAAAAUACAUUUACAUUUACAUCAUCUACAAUUACUUAAAUAAAGCGGUCAUAUUCAUGUUUGCAUAUUAAAAAUGUUAAUGUAACAAAGAUUGACAAGUUAUUACAUUUUUUUUUUUGCCCAAAUGCUACAUACAUUACACAGACCUAGCCCAAAAUCUUAUAUUUAGGUGUAUUAAACUUAUACAGUCUAUUAAUUUUACUUUGUGAUUUAUCAUUAAUUUUGUGUAUAAGGGCAUACAAAUAUUAUUAUAUUAUAUUAUAUUAUAUUAUAUUAUAUUAGAUUUUUAUUAUAUUGCUAAUAAUGUAUUACAUUUUUAAAAUCAUUUUAAAUAAUUGCAAGAAAAAAAAGCAUUAGCUAUGGUCAGUGUGAGUGAAUCACCACAUACAACAGUUCCUGUAAAUGUGCUGUGUCUCAGUUGUAACCUGCUGAAAAUACCCUCCCUCUCCUUAAAUCAUAAUUGUUACAUUUCAGUUUGAAGAUUGAGCAAAAAUGUACCCGUGGUUUUCAGACAAGCCAAAUUUGCCAGGAUAACCGCGAACCUGGCAACUCUGGGGAAAAAGCUAAAAUUGGCUCUCAGAUUGAAUGAACUGAAUGAAUAUACAGGUUAUGGUUUGCCCUCUUUCUUGGACGGAGGGACCAAUGCAGUGAGCACUGUGUCAACCAGCUGGAUAACUGACUCUGACCCAACAGAAACCUCCCCGCAGUCCUUCUAAAGUUAUCUGGCAAGGUGAAACUGGGGAAGGAAGGCACCAUCACUGUCUCAGCCCAUUGUUGGAAGACUGCAAAAGCACAAGCUACAGCCAGUGGGACGGCACGAGUACUACUGAUGGAACUCUUUAAUGUUGAUGUUUUUCUGAACUUUAAGCAUACCUUUAUCUGUUUUUGUAUUAUACAUAUAGUAGUAUAUGGUAGUAUAUAUUCUUGAAUUUAUAGUGAAGUGUAGUGUUAAAUAUAUAAUAAAAUAAAUUGUGAUGUGUGGUAA